rnacentral:rRNA from 1 species
CUGCGGAGGGAUCAUUGCUGGAACGCGCCCCAGGCGCACCCAGAAACCCUUUGUGAACUUAUACCUUACUGUUGCCUCGGCGCUAGCUGGUCCUCCGGGGCCCCUCACCCCCGGGUGUUGAGACAGCCCGCCGGCGGCCAACCCAACUCUUGUUUUUACACUGAAACUCUGAGAAUAAAACAUAAAUGAAUCAAAACUUUCAACAACGGAUCUCUUGGUUCUGGCAUCGAUGAAGAACGCAGCGAAAUGCGAUAAGUAAUGUGAAUUGCAGAAUUCAGUGAAUCAUCGAAUCUUUGAACGCACAUUGCGCCCUCUGGUAUUCCGGAGGGCAUGCCUGUUCGAGCGUCAUUUCAACCCUCAAGCCUGGCUUGGUGAUGGGGCACUGCUUCUUACCCAAGGAGCAGGCCCUGAAAUUCAGUGGCGAGCUCGCCAGGACCCCGAGCGCAGUAGUUAAACCCUCGCUCUGGAAGGCCCUGGCGGUGCCCUGCCGUUAAACCCCCAACUUCUGAAAAUUUGACCUCGGAUCAGGUAGGAAUACCCGCUGAACUUAAGCAUAUCUA